GAGGGAGGUGCUGGUGGGCGGGGAAGAGCUCGUAGCCCCGCCCCCUCAGCCGUUGCCGACCGUUGCUAAGAGCCGCUUCCGCUUCCCUCGCUUCUACCUCAGGGCGGUUGAGAAGCGAAGAGCCGUCGCAAGAGUGGCAACAACAACAGAAGCAGAAAUAAUUACACAAAGAAGCCACCGUGGCAUUAUACAAACAGAAAUUUAUCCUGAUGCUAAGAAAUGGUGGCACAGCCUGAGUUCCAGAAAACGGGGUGAAUUUUGUGCCUUCCAAAAGACAAAAGAAUGAUCAUCAGUCUGAAGACCCCGGUUCACCCUGGAAGAAAAAAGAUGGCAAGAAGUCCAUGAGGCAUUUUCACGGGAUUGGAGACUAAUACUAAGAUCUCAGCCACCACACUUACCUUUGGUCCAGAGGGUCCAGGAGGGCCUGGUUUUCCUGCUGCACCCUAGUAAGAAGGAAAAGGGAAGCAAUAACCAUGGAGAUAAAGACUCACCAUGCUUUGCCCCAUAGACAUGCUCAGGGCAGGC